rnacentral:rRNA from 1 species
CUAGACGAAAGUCUGACGGUUCACGCCGCGUGAGUGAUGAAGGUCUUCGGAUCGUAAAACUCUGUUGUUAGGGAAGAACAAGUGCCAUAGUAACUGAUGGUGCCUUGACGGUACCUAACCAGAAAGCCACGGCUAACUACGUGCCAGCAGCCGCGGUAAUACGUAGGUGGCAAGCGUUGUCCGGAAUUAUUGGGCGUAAAGCGCUCGCAGGCGGUUCUUUAAGUCUGAUGUGAAAUCUUACGGCUCAACCGUAAACGUGCAUUGGAAACUGGGGAACUUGAGUGCAGAAGAGGAGAGUGGAAUUCCACGUGUAGCGGUGAAAUGCGUAGAGAUGUGGAGGAACACCAGUGGCGAAGGCGACUCUCUGGUCUGUAACUGACGCUGAGGAGCGAAAGCGUGGGGAGCGAACAGGAUUAGAUACCCUGGUAGUCCACGCCGUAAACGAUGAGUGCUAGGUGUCAGGGGGUUUCCGACCCUUAGUGCUGAAGUUAACGCAUUCAGCACUCCG